rnacentral:rRNA from 1 species
GACGAACGCUGGCGGCGUGCUUAACACAUGCAAGUCGAACGGAAAGGCCCUGCUUUUGUGGGGUGCUCGAGUGGCGAACGGGUGUGUAACACGUGAGUAACCUGCCCUUGACUUUGGGAUAACUUCAGGAAACUGGGGCUAAUACCGGAUAGGAGCUCCUGCUGCAUGGUGGGGGUUGGAAAGUUUCGGCGGUUGGGGAUGGACUCGCGGCUUAUCAGAUUGUUGGUGGGGUAGUGGCUUACCAAGGGUUUGACGGGUAGCCGGCCUGAGAGGGUGACCGGCCAAAUGGGGACUGAGAUAGGGCCCAGAAUCCAACGGGAGGCAGCAGUGGGGAAUAUUGCAAAAUGGGCGGAAGCCUGAUGCAGCAACGCCGCGGGCGGGAUGACGGCCUUCGGGUUGUAAACAGAUUUCGCCUGUGACGAAGCGGGAGUGACGGUAAUGGGUAAAGAAGCACCGGCUAACUACGUG